rnacentral:rRNA from 1 species
CCUACGUGAGACAGCAGUGAGGAAUAUUGGUCAAUGGGCGCGAGCCUGAACCAGCCAAGUCGCGUGAGGGAAGACGGUCCUAUGGAUUGUAAACCUCUUUUGUCGGGGAGCAAAGGACGCCACGCGUGGCGUUCCGAGAGUACCCGAAGAAAAAGCAUCGGCUAACUCCGUGCCAGCAGCCGCGGUAAUACGGGGGAUGCGAGCGUUAUCCGGAUUUAUUGGGUUUAAAGGGUGCGUAGGCGGUAGAUGAAGUCAGCGGUAAAAUUGCGAGGCUCAACCUGUCCGAGCCGUUGAAACUGGUGGUCUUGAGUGAGUGAGAGGUAUGUGGAAUGCGUGGUGUAGCGGUGAAAUGCAUAGAUAUCACGCAGAACUCCGAUUGCGAAGGCAGCAUACCGGCGCUCAACUGACGCUGAGGCACGAAAGUGUGGGUAUCGAACAGGAUUAGAUACCCGAGUAGUC